rnacentral:rRNA from 1 species
UACGAAGGGGGCUAGCGUUGCUCGGAAUUACUGGGCGUAAAGCGCGUGUAGGCGGGCCCCCAAGUCGGACGUGAAAGCCCUGAGCUCAACUCAGGAACUGCAUCCGAAACUGAGGGCCUGGAGUAGUGGAGAGGGAAGCAGAAUUCCUGGUGUAGAGGUGAAAUUCGUAGAUAUCAGGAGGAACACCGGUGGCGAAGGCGGCUUCCUGGACACCUACUGACGCUGAGACGCGAAAGCGUGGGGAGCAAACAGG